rnacentral:miRNA from 1 species
AGAAUCCAUAUAGGUUUUUGCUUAUGCACCAUGGUUGUCUGAGCAAACAGCAUGCUUGUCUGCUCAUACCCAUCUUAACUGUCUACUGC